rnacentral:rRNA from 1 species
UGGGGAAUAUUGGCACAAUGGGCGCAAGCCUGAUGCAGCCAUGCCGCGUGUGUGAAGAAGGCCUUCGGGUUGUAAAGCACUUUCAGCGAGGAGGAAGGUGGUGAGCUUAAUACGCUCAUCAAUUGACGUUACUCGCAGAAGAAGCACCUGCUAACUCCGUGCCAGCAGCCGCGGUAAUACGGAGGGUGCAAGCGUUAAUCGGAAUUACUGGGCGUAAAGCGCACGCAGGCGGUUUGUUAAGUCAGAUGUGAAAUCCCCGGGGCUCAACCUGGGAACUGCAUUUGAAACUGGCAAGCUAGAGUCUCGUAGAGGGGGGUAGAAUUCCAGGUGUAGCGGUGAAAUGCGUAGAGAUCUGGAGGAAUACCGGUGGCGAAGGCGGCCCCCUGGANGAAGACUGACGCUCAGGUGCGAAAGGCGUGGGGGAGCAAACAGGAUUAGAUACCCUGGUAGUCCACGCUGUAAACGAUGUCGA